AUCCGGUACCUAUAACCGAUGGAUCCAGCGACCACGCCACUAGGCAAAAUGCUAUUGGAGGAAAUCACUCCAGUGGUCAUGGUGCUCCGAACACCUCUUGUAGAAGAGGCCUGCCUCAAGAAUGGUCUCUCCUUUAUCGAAAUGCUCAGCCCUUUCUGCACCUUCAGUAACAUCGAUGGUUUAGCCCCUUUCUCUCACUAUAUCUAUAUCUCAGUGCGUAGAAUUUAUGUAUUUGUAUGGUCUAAUUGAAGUUUCUGAGAUGAAUUUUGAGUGGAAAUUGAGUUGCUUUUUUUUUUUCCCCCGUCUUUAAUGCAGUGCCUGUACGGACGUCCAGUGACCAACCAUACAGGCUACAGAAGUUCAAGCUGAGGUUAUUUUAUGAAUCAGAUAUUCGGCAGCCCAACCUUGAGGUAAAUCUAUGUUUUAUUAGCUGAAAACAUAUGCAUUAUGUCAAUAGAAUGAUUGUAGAACUUUGGAUUUUUCAGUUCUAUGGCAAUUAACGAACCAGUAUGGAAAUUGUAGUUUCUUUAUUUUUAAAACUUAAUGGAGAUGGAUAUUGCUUUUCAUUAGAAACAUGGCUGUUUCCUGAGUAGUGUAGGUCUACCAUACCAUCACAUUGUAAAAAUAUGUGAAACUGCUAUUAUUUAGGAACACAAUUUUAAAUUUAUGCACAAGAGAAUCAAGAUUGCUAUCUGUAUUAUAUGUCUUUUUGCUGCAAACAACAAUCAUAUGAAUGCUAUUGCUUGUUUCUUUAUAACAAUACUUUGGUUUCAACUAGGUAGCAAAGGAGAGAUUGAAGCAGGUUAUUACCCAGGCUGGGGAUAAAGAUAAUUCUGUGUCGUGCUCAGACCCACCUACUGGUAUUGUGGAAGCUACUAAUUUAAACUUGUUAUUUAUGCAUGGAUGUCAUGAGUGGUUGUUUUAUUACAUGUGUAUUACACUAUUUUCCCUUAUGGAAACUGAUUUUUUCUUACAAAUGUGCUAGUUUAUCUCGUUUUGCAGAAAUUCAAUUAUCGUAAAUUAAAUCUUUCAUUACUUUUAAAAAGAGCAGUCUAAAUUCCUCUUAACAUUUCUUAUUUUUAGUUAAACUUUUUAAGACAUGUAUCUCUAAUCAAGUCUUUACUGGAGAUUUGAACUUUUAUACUUGCUUUAAAAUUGAUUAUAACAUGUGCAGGCCCUGAAUCUGAAAGUCCACCUUCAUGGUUUGAGUUUUUUAACAAAGAGCUCGUGCAUACUGUGUCUUUUUCAGACCAUGAAGCUUUUGACCACCCAGUGGCAUGUAAGCUUUUAAAUAUUGUUAGUAUUCUUAUUUAUUUUUCCUUUUUUUAAUGACACUGAAUUUAGUCCUUUUCACCCAUUGAAUGAUAAUAGUUCCAAAUAUUCUUAUGGAUAUCAUUUCAGAUGUUUUGUGUAAAAUAAUUUGCAGGUCUUUUGGUUGUUUCUUCAAAGGAUGAACAACCUAUCAACCGAUUUGUUGACCUUUUCAACACCAACAAGCUGCCGUCUCUUCUUAAUGAUGGUGCAAUGGACCCAAAGAUUUUGAAACAUUAUUUAUUGGUGCAUGAUAAUCAAGAUUGCUCCUCAGAGAAGUAUUGCAGUCUUCUCUUUCCUGUUUAAUUGAAGUGCAUUAUUUGUUUAUAAAUAUGGGUAUAAAUUUUCAUUAGCUAGGGUUCUGAAUCAGCUAUAUUUUCUAUUUCUUUGCUUUCUUUCUCGUGUUUCGUUAUUCUUGCUUUAGUGUGGGGGGGGAUAAAGGCCGUUCACAGUUGCAUGAGAGAAUUCUUAAUGCAAAAACAUAUAUUAGCAGUUACACUAUCUAGCAAUAGUGGUGAAACGGGAUACAAGAAUGUUGGGACCUAAGGCAAGAAACAUAUGAUGGACUAAGGUCAAAGGAACAUGAGAUAGUUUCCUUGUUCACUAGUGUAUCCUUUUGGUUCAGCUAUUUCACAUAUGCUUGGCUUAAAAGUAGGGAGUCGGUGAGAAUGAUAUAGAAAAGGGAGUAGUAGGGUUUUUUGUCUUCAGAAGGUAUUGAAAAGGAAUAGAGUGGAAAAGGGAGGUGUGUUCUACUUCUAUGCCUAUGUUUGAGCUGGCCAUACUGUUUUUAUGAUUUAUUAUUAAGGAAUUGAUUGCAUUUCAAAACACAGUUAAAGUUGUCUUCAGAGCCCUUUAGAACUGCAUAUAUUGCUAUAUUAGAGUAUAAGAUCCACAUUAAGAACAUCUACAAAGGUAAGAGAGCUGUUGGAUAAUCAAUUGUGCUUAAAAGAAGCUGCAAUUAGCUGUGAAGUAAAACUUUAAUCAUGAGAUUGAGUAUUUGGUGCCAUUGCAAAGAAGGUGAAUAUAUUUAAUUUAGUAGAAAUCUGAAAACUGGAAUAUAUGUGAAUGAAAAACAAUGUUGAGGACUUGAGUAGCAAAGCAUAAGGUAUUUAUUCUUUCAAGGCAAUAAAUAGGUAUUUGGAAUUGUACUAGGUUUCUGGAAUGGAAAAUAAUCUGAAGUGGUAAACAAUAGGUUUGAAAAAUUAUUACAGGUACUUUGAACUCUAUUGAGUACCUAGUAUGGAAAUUGGAAAGCAAUCCGAAAUGGACUAAAAAUGGGUCUAAAAAUGAAAAUAAGAACUCAAGUACCUAACAAAAGGCAGAAAUGGAUAAAACAAAAGGGAGAUCACAGCUGAUGAAUCAAAGCAGAGAUUGAUGGUGACUUUGUCCUUGCAAACUUAAAGGAAAAUGAAUAUCCAUGGAAAUGUGAGAGAGUAGCUCUUAAUCUGUAGAUAAGCUACUAAAAAAUGUAAAAAGGAAAGUUGCUUUAACCUUAUAAUUUUGAUACCCAACUAGAGGCAAUAGAAAUUUUUAUCUACCUGAAAUGAACUAUUAUCCAUUAUUUGAUGUACAUCUGGAUCUGCGUCUGAGUUUCACUUCAUACAACUCAGAUUGGACCUACAUGAUUAUGAUUUAAGGGUCAACUUUCUUUUUUCUUUUGGUCUCAAAUGGGAUAUGGGAGAAGUACCCUUCUUUUGAAGUUUUUGAAGCAAGCAAGGGGGAAAAAGUUUUGCUAGAUUUUCAUGUGCUGCUCGUUUAUUGAAACUUUUAUGUUGCCAUUUUCCUGUAUUCCAUCCUAUACUAGCUUUGAACUAAUAUCUACUGUUAAGAUAAAUCUACAUGGGUUGAAUGCAAUGUGAAUAGCUUUUGGAUUUUGUUUCUCUACUCUCAGGGCAACAAAAAUUCUAACAGAGAUGAAAAAUACAUUUGGGACAAAUGACUGUCAUAUGCUUUGCAUUAAUUCAUCACAAGAUGGGCAGAUAGAACAUCGAGAGAGCCUGUGGGCUUCUUGUGUAAGCUGCUUCCAAAAAUUUAUAUUAAUAUUUUCAUGUUUAGAAGAUAUUCAUCUGAUAUAUAGUUCCUAGUAUUUAUUAUGGGACAAAAUGAGUAAGGUUAAGGCUGUUGUCUUUUGCACUUUGUGACAGAAAUCCGUUGUUUCUCCUGAUCAGCAUCUUGGUUGUUUCCUUAAUAUCGAUGAUAUUAGUGAGGUAAUUUGAUUUCACUACCAUUAGCUAAUACUCUAAGCUAGUAAUGAUUAUAUACAUGUGUGUGUGUAUACAUAUAAUAUUGCUGGGGGGCUUUAAUCAAGUUUUCAUUUUCCAAAUUGAGAACAGAUAAAAGAUCUGAUGCAAGAAUUAUCAUCUAAACACAUCAUUCCUUACAUGGAGCAGAAAGUCCGUGUGCUCAAUCAGCAGGUAGUAAAUCUCCAGUGUAUCUUUCUCUUUUUUGGAUUGUAUAUGGAAUCUUUUUCUUUCAAGCAUACUGCACCUUCAAUAUUUUUUUCCCAUCUUCUCAAUUUCAUUUUUCAUGUCAUCAUGAUAGGUGUCUGCUACAAGGAAAGGUUUUAGAAAUCAAAUUAAAAACCUGUGGUGGAGAAAAGGGAAAGAAGAUACACCAGAUUCCCCCAGUGGACUCAUGUAUGUUGUGCAGAUAACUUCUAUUGUCAUGUCACUCUUUACAUUGUACUUUUUCUAAUUUUUGGUUUUACAUUUCCUUUUAAAGGUAUACCUUUAGCUCUAUUGAGUCUCAGAUUAGAGUUUUGGGCGACUAUGCUUUCAUGUUGCGAGAUUAUGAACUUGCAUUGUCAAACUAUCGGCUUAUUUCCACAGAUUAUAAGCUUGAUAAAGCUUGGAAGCGUUAUGCUGGGGUGCAGGUAACUUCAUAUCUUUAUUUUAAUAUUCUUCUUUCCUUCGUUAACAUGAGACUGUAGUUUUAUCUGAUUCUCUUCUGCUAAGACUUUCUUUAUUUGUCACAUUUGUUGUUGCUGCAGGAAAUGAUGGGUCUUACAUACUUUAUGUUGGAUCAAUCGAGAAAGGAAGCAGAAUAUUGCAUGGAAAAUUCAUUUAAUACUUAUUUAGUAUGUAUAGCUCCUUCUUGCUGUCUUACCAUUUGUCAUUUUUGUUCAUCUUAGUGUCUUUAAAAUGAAAAAUGCUUACUGCUGAUUUGCUUUUGGAACUUCUUUUUGUUGAUGGUUCUUCUGUAUGGGAAUUCAUAGAAAUAUUAGAAUUAUAAACGAAAAAGUGUUAGUACUUAGCAGGACAACUUGCAGAGUGCCUCUGAACAGUAAUUUGAAUAGUAACAAACUAACAAUACAGUCUUUCUACAAACUAUUGCCAUUUUCCUGGAGCUAACUUUGGUUGUGAAGCAUUUCAUGUGAAAAUAUAAGCCUCAAACUUAACAAUAUCAAGCUUAAAAAAUGAGUUGAAGUCAUGGUAUUAAAAUACGGCCGUUAUGUUAUGUAAUGGUUUUAAGGGGGACCAUUAUCUGUUAGGCCGUUACCGUUACGUCAUGGCCGUUAUAGGCCUGUUUCUGUUAUCCGCAAUCGCAAUUUAAAACCAUGGUUGAAGUGUUAUUGCAGAGUAACAGAUUUAUGUUUAGGUUCUGUAAGGGGCCAUUUCUUACCUGUGCUGGUGGUUGAGGCCAAUAAUAUAGGGGAAUAUUCAUGCCUAAGUUACACAAGCAUAGUGAGUCCAUAGAUCAUGUUCAAUUAUAUGUGCUUGUUUUUGGGUACUGUAGCUUGGUAGGGUUUCAAUAAUAUGACCUGUUGGCAAUCAUUUUUGAGGCAAAUUAUUUUGUUUUUUUUUGCUUUAUUAUUCUUCAAUCUGAAAAUUCAAUUCUAGAAUUCUACUUUCAACUUUGUUUAAAUGCAUUGAAUCUGGUUCGGAUGCAGAAAAUUGGUUCAUCUGGUCAGAAAAAUGCUACACGCUGUGGCCUUUGGUGGAUAGAAAUGCUAAAGACAAGAGAUCAAUACAAAGAGGCUGCCACCGUUUACUUCCGCAUCUGCACUGAGGUAAGCUCAAUAUUGUUUUACAAAUCAAGGUGAGUGAAAGUAUCUUUCUUGUGCUGUUGACAAUUUCUAUUUUAUUUUAUUUUCAAUUUUAGGAGCCAUUGCAUUCAGCUGUUAUGCUUGAGCAAGCAUCCUAUUGCUACUUAUUGUCUCAACCACGCAUGUUACACAAGUAUGGAUUUCAUCUUGUUCUUUCUGGUGAUCAUUACAAAAAAUGUGAUCAGGUACCUGUAGUUAUGCAAAUAUUUACAUAUGUCUGAUUAUAUAGUUGCUGCUUCUAAAGGACCUUCUUGCUGCAUUGGUUCAUCUUCUGUUAGAUUAAACAUGCAAUUCGCACAUAUAGGAGUGCUAUCUCUGUCUAUAAAGGAACUACAUGGAGUUACAUCAAAGAUCAUGUUUAUUUCCAUAUUGCACAGUAAGUUAUUUUGACUUCAUGCUUCAGUUUGGAUGAAUUUAUAAUGUAGAAGAUUCUUGACAGUACUCCUUAUGCUUGUUGCAUAUGCAGAUGGUAUGCUUUUCUUGGCAUGUAUGAUGUGGCUUUCACACAUUUGUUGGAAGUCUUGACCUGUAGCCAUCAGUCCAAGACAACACAGGAGUUAUUCCUGAGGGAGUUUCUUGAAGUUGUUCAGGUGACUGCUAGUUCUAGUUGUGCUCAAUAGCAAACCCCAAGGUUCUUGGGACUUUUGAGGUUUAAUCCUUGUAUUGCACUCUGCUGCUUUUAAGUGAGUUUGGAAUCUAUUGAAUUGCUUUGACCCAGAUUACUGAAUGCAUGUUUCAAUAUUCUUAAUGUGUUUGAUGUCUUUAUAUAGUUAGGCUGCAGGUUGACUACCUAUGGAUUUACUUUAAUUUCUUUAAAGUAUUAUAUGAAGUGUGACACUUUGCUAAUUGUAAUCUGGAAAUUUUGUACAAUGAUAUCUAUUGUGUGUUCAGAUUUAGUGACAGCUCUCUUACUUCCUUUUUCUCCGGUUAUUUUAGGGUUUGGAUUUGAAGCAUAGAAGUUUACAAGUUGAUAAUUAUUAUUAUCCUCUUGGUUUUGGGACCUUAGUGCUUUAGUUUCUACUAGUGACACAUAUAAUUUCAGUGAGUUGUCACUUGUUAGACCACAUAUGUUAACUAAUAUAACAUACAAGCCUCAUAAGAAUGCUGUGCUGUAGCAUCACUAUGGUUUACUGAAAACAGAACUCUUCAGAGACUUUGCCUUCACAUUACAUGCUAGAACCAGAACUCUAGGAAGCCUUGAGCAGGCUGGCUUGUUGAUGCUGUACUGCUGGUUUCUCCCACCCUUUACGUUUAAAAUGAAGGGAUCCACGUGGCUGAAACAUUUGAUAUCCCUAUUUUUUAUAUUUAUUAAUUAGCGGAAAUCCUAAGUUUAAUGUGAUGCUAGCAUGAAAUAAAAGGACAUUCACAUUUGAAAAGCUACCGAUGCUUAAAGAUAAAUAAAUAUAUAAAUUGUGUGAAUCUUUAUAAUUCUGUUAGUACCUUGUGGCUUUCUGUCUGAUGGUCAUCCAUCAAAAUUAUGAGCUAGAAUUUUUUUUUCCAUUCUAUUUUUGGAAAGUAUUCAUGAACUUGACAGUCUUAUUCUUGGAUAUCAUAGAAAACAGGGAAAACAUUUGAGGUAUUAAAGCUCCAGUUGCCUGUCAUCAAUAUCUCAUCACUCAAGGUUGUUUUUGAAGACCAUAGAACUUAUGCAACACCUGCUGUGGUAAGUCGAAAAAGUUGAAACUUGGUCUUCUUUCUUACAGUACUAAAUGUUGUUUAUGCCUUACCUGAAUAUGCUCUGCCCGCUCGCUCCCUGUUUCUCUCUGUGCUUCUUUCUCUUUCUUUUGGAUGCCAUCAAAAUUGUUUUGUUAUGUUGCAAACACACACACACACACAAAUUAUGUAUGUAUAUCCAGCACACACAUAUGUAUAUAGGCCAAAUGAGAAAUCCUGAACUCUAUCUGUUUUUCCAAUUUUAGCAAAAAAAAAAAAGCUUUAUCAGUUGUGGCUAUAAACUAAAGUACUACAAUAUAAGUAUUGGUUUAAGGUAUUUUUGAUAUUUGGCUUAGUUAUUAGGGGUACAGUUUGUUUUAUUUUAUUAUGAAUUUAUAAGUUCUUAUGGCUGUUUGAUUGUAUUUUCAGUGAUUGAUAACUAAAUUGAAAAUCCAGAUUAUUGGUUCUUUGUUUGUAUUUUUUAUUUUUUUUUAUUGUUAUGCAUCAGUUGGAUAUAACAUCUAUAUAUCUGAAGGCCAAAUCCCAAAUUGAAAUUGAUAUGUCCAUAUUCGUGCUUAUCAAUAAUUAGGGUAAACUUUAGUAUUCAGAGUUAUAUAGAUAGAUCACCUACCAGUAAUAGAGCUCAAAUAUGGUAUAGAUAAUUUGCACCAAUAGUGCAUAUGUUUUGUAAAACUUUGACUACAUGAAGUGUUGAUUGGUGUAGAAGUUGUUAGUUUUACACUUGGCCUACUUAAUGUGCACACCAGUGUGCACUUUUAGAAAUAACCCAAAUAAUACUCAUAUGCAGAGAAUAGAAAAACAAAUGCAGAAAGAGAGGAAAAUAAGAAAUAGUAAUUUGUGUGUUUUGGCAAUGUGCUUAUGUAAGCAAGAGCCACCUGCAACUUUUUUCUCUAUGAAGGACGAAGUUGCAAAUGCUUUUUUAUAUAGGAGUAGGAGAAGGUCAAAAUUACAAAAAUCAGCCCAUAAUUAGAACUGCCCUAGGCAUUAUUACUGUAAUUAGAUAGGUUAGGGCACUCUCUGGCCCAGCCAAACAAAGGUUGAACAUUCUUCUUCAAGGUUCUCACGAGGAGGGGUGCUUGGAGCUUUUAGUAUGCAUAUGCAGAACCAGCUCUGAUAUUUGCCCUCAACACAUGCUUUAUAAUAGGAGAUAAAUACAAUUAAGGUGUGGUUGAAAUAGCAGUGAUUGGAUGGUGAAAUAUUGAGUGUUUUGACUUAGAUGGGGACUAUUUGUUUUGCUAUUUUGUACACACAUGUUCUUGUUGCAUUAGUUAGCCGAGAUGGAAUUUCUUUUUUCUGUUAUGUCAUCACAUUCAUUUCAUUAGCUUGUCAUAUGAAUUGGCAGUUUGGUUGUUGUCUGUUCAUGCAACUUCAUGAACAUCAGAUAGGUUAUAGGUACCCUAUCAUUGUUUUUUAGUUUGAUGCCCAAAAAUCACUAUCACCUCACUGUUAAGAUCCUGCAAUAUUUAUGAGUUCCCUCCUUCAUUAAUAGCAUUUUCUUGGUGUCUGACUUUCACUUUGCUUUGUACAUUAUAAUAAUCAAUAGAUGCACCAUAUAAACUAAAUUUUAUUAUCGCAGCAUUAUGAUUUUUUCCACCAUCUUGACAUCUUUUGAUUCCCAAAGCAGCAUGGACUAUCCACAUGUUGGAGGUGAUAUAAUUGCCUGUCACUAACAGCAUAUUCUUACACUAUACUAUUUGUAAAAGCAGAAUCUGAAGCCUUAGACGACAAUUAAAUUUGACUUUUGAUCCCUAAUAAUGAUGACAAUCUGCAUAACUGAUUUGAUAUAUUUUGGAAUUAUGGUUUUCAAAGAAAUACAAUUUAGAAGUGCUGUUAAGAAUGGCCAUAAAUAAGAAAAUUGUGUAUUGGACUUCUGGCAAUUCUUCAUUUGUACAUUUUGGUUUGAGAGGAUUUUGUCUUAUCUAUCAGAGGAAUGAAAAGAAGCAAACAGCCAAUGAUCUUUAGCACAAUGGAUAUGGAGUUGUUUCCAGGGUUUUGGAUCUCGGUUUGAGAGCUAGUUGGAUCCAAUGAAGCAUUAAAAAAAGGAUGAAAAAGAAAAACUGUGAAGGUUGGAUGCUUUUGAUUGGUGAGAGACAAGCUUAAAUGUAUUACCAAUUGAGGGGCUUAUUAAUAUUUAUGGCACUUGAUAUGCCUGAUGGAGUGCAUUAUUUGUAGCUUUUGAUAUUUUCCGCUGUUUUGUAUGCUCUUCUUGAGGUGGUAUGGCACACCCUGAUGGUGUCUAUUGUAUUGGUUGGGAUAUGUUGAUUGUAUCCUGAAUAAUUGUGAACAUUUUAAGGUGUGCAGCUUACAUGUGACAUGGCCUGAACAUAAUUUUUUGGGCAUGUAUAAAACUGACCAUGUGAUGUUUAAUGGCUGACUGAUUGUGUAUGUUCUACAAUUUGUAAAGCAUCAUUUUAAUGUCUGAAUAGUCAUACUAUUUUUUUAAUAUAUUCUGUUGAUUAUGAUGUUCAUAGUACUAUUAUUAUUAAUCUUCUAUGCAAAAAUAUUGUGAUUUGGAAGUCUGUUGUGUUUGACGCUAUUGUCUCUUUUCAUUCAUUCCAGGCUAGUGUUAGAGAAAGUUUGUGGUGUUCAUUAGAGGAGGACAUGAUUCCAUCAUUGUCUACUGCCAAGACUAAUUGGUUGGAAUUACAAUCGAAGUUCCUGCCAAAAAAAUAUAAGGAAUCAAACAUUUGUGUGGCUGGAGGUAUGAAGGUGAUAGUAUUCUGCAUAAAUUUUCAUAAUUCUGUAGGUUCUUAAAUAAAACACACACAUAAAAAUCAGUUUAUGAAUUUCCUUAGCUUCAAAUGCAGAAUUUUUAUUUGGAGAUAUUCUUGUAAUGAGCUUGAGUAUAGUGUUCCAAAGGAGUCUCAGGUUUCUAUCUUCUGUGCACAUUUUUUUAAUGAAAAAGGAAACUGUAGUGAAGAGAAAAAGAAAAUCUUGCAAAAAUGAGGGUAAGAAUUCCAACUGCAAAGGGGAAAAAAAAAAAGAAAACACAACAAGGUCCUCUAUUUCCUUUGCAUUUGAACUGCAAAGUUCUAUAACAAUUAAUAAAUCAUGAGGACACCAGAAUGGAGCCAAGUACAAAAUCUUGUCCCCUAAUGACUGUGCCAAUAAAUGGUUGUGCCUGAAGAUUGUAGCAUAACUUUUUAUAAUUAUAAUUUCAUUCUAUAAUGAUUUACUGAAUAGACGACAAUAGGCUUAUAUGACAAGUGAUUAAGUGUAUUUGAUUAGAUACCAUGUCAAUAUUUUCAAUUUUAAUGUUGAUAACUUAUUCAUUUAGGAACCUAUUACUUUGACGUCAUUGAAUUUUUAUUGAAUCCAGAAGUGGGUUUGAUUGAAUUUUUUUUCUAUUAUAAAAAUUAAAAGGGUAAGAAUUUGUUGAUUAUUGAAUCCAGAAAUGGGUCUGCUUUCUCUUGUUGUCCAACAAGAAAUUGAAAAGAGCCAGGAUUAUAAAGAAGCAACAGAAAAUCAUGUAUUUCUCAAUAAUUAAGAAUUCAAUGAAGAUUCCAAACAACAUCGGAAACUGUGGACUGUGGAGGAAUAAAAACUGAAAAUGGUUGAUGUAGAACAAGAACUCAUAAGGAUCAAGAGAAACAAAUUCUCAACUUCAUUAUUCUCAAUUUUCAAUAAUAUCAUAAUAGAAGUCUCCCAAAAUAUGUAGAGAACGUAGCCCUAUAUAUAGAGUGUUUCUAAUCCUACUAACAUUAGGAUUAGGAACCCUAAAUCCUCUAGUAAUUAGGAAUUCUAAACAAAUUUAAACUAGAAAGUAAUAAACGUAAUAGAAUACCUAAAUGAUAAGAAUCACAGGAUUUGUGAAACUGUAAACUCCCCAAUUUAGGAUACAAGAUAAAACAAAACAUUCCCCUAAUCUAGUAUUCUUUGUCUGCAUCUGGUCUUGGUGGAAGUUUGGGAGAUGGUAAAAGAGCAAGCUGUGGCUCAAAAUUGAUUUUCUUUUCCCAUAGAUUUCUGAAAUCUGAAUUGGGAACCAACUAUAUAUUGAGAUAUUGGAUCAGUGGUUGGAUAUACUAUCUGGGUCCUCAUCCCUAGAAUUUUUCUUUUCUAGAAUAAAGUAACGAAAAGAAAGAAAAGUAGAAGGGAGGAUAACUUGGGAGUAAAUUUCUAGGAGCUACCAUGUCCAACUUCUUUUUUUAUCCCAGCUCUUUCAUCCUACCUAUUUUGUUGAAGGCCUUAUCUACUUUGGUUCUCAGGGAAAUCUCUAUAACCAAACAAAGCUCCCAUUUUGUUGAAGGCCAUAUCUACUUUGGUUCUCAGGGAAAUCUCUAUAACCAAUCAAAGCUCCCAUGAAACUUAAUUUUAACUCAUUUUUUUGAAUCUAGAGCCAGACCAAGGAAAUUUACCAUAAUUUUCUCAAUUCUCUCUGCUGUGUAGUUGGAUUCUUGCUCAAAUAAUAAAAAUACAGCAGUGCAGAACCUUCUUGAAUGAGAGUAACAUGACCAAAAAAGCGUGAACCUCUUACAACCAUCUUACUGCUUGGAAUUUCUAUGAAUUGUGUGAACUCAUAAAGACAUGGAAUAAGGAUUACCCGCUAAAAGCCUCUUGAUGAGUUAAAAUCCAAUUAUAUAACCCAUGGCCUCUAAAAUAGCAUAUUUCAAAAUCAAGUCGAUCCUCUAAUAUUUUUUCCCAAGUGUUAUCAGAUGUGUAUGGUUGGGCUUCUUUUGUUUCCUUGUAAAAUUUUAUUAUCUACUCAUUGUAAACGACAACAUGAGCUUGAUGUAAAGGUUUGUGAAAUAAUGUUACUUUAUAUGGGCUAUAUCUCUUUACUCCAUAUCUAGUGUUUAUUGUUGUGUAAAUCAGUUCAUAAAUUAGUGUUUGAUUUGAGUGAAGGCAUGUUGGAGUUGUUAUUAAAGAGUUUUAUCUGGCUGGUUGCGUCACAUGUAGCAGUACAUAAGACAGUUCAAUAGCGAUCUGCAGCAUACUGGAACUGUAAAAAGGUGCAUAUAAGGGGAGAAGGGUUGCAUUACUAAUACAUUUUUUUUCAUCGUGUUUGCAGAAGCAAUAAAGGUGGAUAUUGCAUUUGAGAAUCCCUUGAAAACCCCUAUUUCAAUAUCAAGUGUUUCUUUGAUAUGUGAUCUUUCAGGUUCAGAUGAGAAAUCUGGUGAGGAGUUGUCUGUGUCUUAAAAAUUUAUUCUCCCUUCUAUCGAUUUGGAUGGUUCUAAAUUAGUAUCUGCAGUUGGAUAAUUAAUAUUUUUAAUGGUGCUGCAGAUUCAAGUCACUCCACUGCACUUCAGAAUGAUGAAGAACAUAAAAUGUUGGGGUAUGUAUUUGAACAUGCCUCUACUUUUCCUAAUUAUCAUUAUGCUGUAUAUUUCCAUUGCUAUUGUUAUUCUCCCAGUUUUAUAAAUUUAGAUAUUUUUGCUUGAUGAUUGCAGGGAUAUGAUCUCAAACACUUCUUUAUUUACUUUGUCAGAAGUUGACUUCACAUUGGGAGGGGACGAGACCAAGUUGGUGAGUGCUUCCUGACCAUUGGGAAAAUAAAUUGCUUAUGAUUUUUUCUGCUAUUUAAAGCUAGCUACUCAGAAAUGUUCUGAAUUUCACUUUUCCCCCUUCUCUAAUGUGUUAGCUUUGAUCAUUGGUUCAUUAAUUUUUCUUUUCUUCAAUACAUUGAAGAGAUGAGGUACAUGACAGUGUGCCUGUCUCUUUUUGCGAGUAGAUUUCCUUUUGGACAUUACAUGUGUGCCAUGGUAUUUAUACAUUGAUACUCCAUGCUUGCUCCAGAGGUGCGACUAGAAAUUUGAUUAGGAAGGGUGCCAGUUCAAGCGGCCAGAGCUUUAACAAAUUUAUCAUAAGGUUACAUUAUUAGAAAAUUUGUUAUUGAUAGAUGUCUCAUUGAAAGAUAGUAGAAAUUAAUUCAACAAGCAAAAGUAGAGUUCAUUUAUUUGUUUUUGCUUGAAGCAUAAUUUAUUGGCGUAGGUGUGUUUUCGUAACAGAAUGUGACGUUUGAGUAACACACAAGAAAUUAUUUUUAUAUUCUCAUAAUGCUAUUUAGCAAAAGAAGGGUAAACACUAUUUGAAAUCUUUGUUAUGUUCAACACUUACAAUAAAACAUGGAUUUAACUGUAAAAGAAGGAACCUGAUACUUAGAAGAGGUGGCCAUUAAGUGGUAGAAGGCCCAACUUUUCAAGGGGAAUAUUUGUAAUUGCAUAAAAUUAAUUAGUUCUACCAAUGGUAGAAUGUUUCUUUGAAUUAACCAAAAUUGGUUGCUAUAUUUUCUAACCUCUUUAUCCUUUCGUGCAGCCCUGCAUUCAAUAAUAAUGACUAUCAUUUAUGUGUGUGUAUAAUCAUUGUCAAUAUAUGGAGUAUUUGUAUUUUUAAACCCAAUACUCGUUAUAUUAUGUUUGUAAUAUAUGUAUCACUGUUAUUAGAAUCUUAUGGUCCCUGAAUUAAAUCUUAUGAUUCAAUUUGGUUCCCCAUCCUAUCCAUUCGAAUGUAUAGAUGAAUCUUAAAUGUAGCUGAGUUGUGUGAUUCUUGAUUUGAUUUCCCAUUUUAGCGAUUUGAAUCUAUGGCAGAAAUUGCAAAUAUUCCUGAAUUGUGAGUAAAUCAGAUGCUGAAUCAAUAUGAAUUAACCAAUUCUUCGCCUAAUUUGGUGACUCCUCUAAACGAUUGUUAGACUUUUAGCUUUAACAUUUAAGUUUUCACUUUCUUUUUGCUACAAAGAGUGCAAAUAAAAUCUUUACUUAGCUAUUUUUCUUCCAUUGGCCAUUCUUUUCUCUACCUUUUCCUCUUCUUGCUUUUUCUUUGUUAAUUUUUCUCUAAUUAUAGUUGUCAAAUCAUGACAUUUAACUUAAUAUAUUCUGACCUUUUAAUGUAAGCUAAUAUCAUUUUUUUAUUAUUUGAUUUUUUUAUCAAAUGUAAGUGGGAGUUUCCACACAUGCACAUGAUGAUUUUUUACUACAAUGCAAAAGUUCAUAACUUAUAACAUAAAAUCGUUUAACAUAAUAAGAAUUUAUUUUUAUAUUAUAAAGCAUAUUUCUAAUUAUCUAAGUGCUAAUUUUCUAUCUAUCAAAACGUCAUUUUCAUUUUUUUUUCUAGUUAUUCUUUUAGGACAUAUAUUAAUUUUAACUAAUUUUGAUCAUUUUUAUCAAAUCCUAUCAUUUGAUUCUCGAUCAAAUCUCAAUUUGACAACUACACACACACACACAUAUUAUUGUAUUCCUGUUUAACCCUAUUUGAACCUUUAGCCGUUGAUGAUGGAUCCUUUCUUUUUUCUGAUUCAAUGGCCAUUUUGGGCUUGGAAACAUUUGUUUAUCUCAGAAUAGAAUAUGGAAAACGUUUCUCUGAGAAUGUACUUUUCAUGUACUCGUUGGAGGUUCACCUUGUUUGUCUAUGUUGAAAUGAUUAUCAUUACUAAUGGAUGUAAAUGUUCUUUUGUUAACUAGGAAUCCAUUCCACAGCAAUGUUCUAUUAUGAUAUCCUGUUUGUAGUUACAAUUAUCUGUGGAAGUUCUGUGCUCUUUAUAUCCCAUUUUUCCCUUCUCAGGUGCAACUAACUGUCACUCCCAAAGUAGAAGGCAGUCUAAGAAUUGUUGGAAUUAAAUGGAAAUUGUGUUCAGUGGUUGGUUAUUACAACUUAGAGUCCCAUCUUAGGAAUAAGAAAACUGCAAGAGGAAGGAGGAAAGCUAAGCAUUCGCCUGGCAAUGACCUGAAAUUUGUAGUGAUCAAGGUACAGGCAAACAACCUUUCACCUCAUUUUGUUCUUCCUGUUCAAUUUGCAUUGUAGAUUGAGUUUGAUAGACAUUCCUUCAUGUCCAGAGUAUACCCAAGCUGGGGGGCUUCAUUCAUACUCUACCAGAAAAGGCAUAUGCAGGAGAUUUACGACAUCUUGUCUUAGAGUUGAGGAACCAAUCAGAGUUUUCUGUAAAGGUAUACCUUUUCUCUGCAGUCUUUGUGUCUUGGUUAAUAAUAAUUUGUUUUUCAUUAUCAGAUAACAUGUGUUGUGUAUCUAUGUUGUACAAAUCGGUAAUGUGGUGCAACUUCUUGAUUUACUAGGAACUAAAAACUAGGUUGACAUUCAGAGCAAUUUUUCUGAUGAUUUUAUAUCAGCCUUAUUUUUGUUUUUGGUACUGCUGCUUAAGACACUGCUUAUGUAUGCUGAAUGCUGGAUUUUUUCUUUUCCCACAUUUGCAAGUGUGAACCAGUCUGUUUGUAAGAUGCAUUGAUCUAUGGUUAGUUUAACUUUAUUGUGUGGUUUGUAAAUUUGUGGCAGAAUUUGAAAAUGAAGAUCAGUCGUCCUAGAUUCCUUAGUAUUGGGAAUCGUGAAGAUUUGAACUUAGAAAUUCCUGAUUGCUUAGAAAAGAAGAUGAAUUUUGAACGAAAUGAUGUACCUGCUGAUUCUAAGAAAGUGACUCAUGGUGUUUUUCUAUUUCCAGAGGUUUGUGUGGAAGUUCAUGUUCUUUUGUCUUUUGGCAAGUAUCAACAAUUUAAUAUUUUAGGUACCUUUAUGUUUUACAUUUGCCUUGGUUUUUCAGGACAUCCAAAUAAACCAGGAAAAACCUUUAUCAUGGCCUCUAUGGCUUCGAGCUGCUGUUCCUGGAACCAUUUCCUUAUAUAUAGUUAUAUACUAUGAGAUGGGGGAUGCAUCAAGUGUCAUGAGAUACCGUACUCUACGCAUGCAUUAUAAUCUGCAGGUAUGUCCUGGAAUUUGAUAGAUUUAAAUUCUUGGCUCGGUUAUUUUCUGGUUAAGGAUGUAAAUAUUAAAUGGAUCUUCUUGAUGGUUGUGUGAUAAAAUAUUAUGGAUAAAUUGAGCAUGUAUAUAUAUAUAUAUCUGUUUUUUUAUCAAUUUAUCAUGAGUUUGAUUCUUAGAAAAUUUUUUUCUUCUCUGUGUCAAAGCUCAAGUGUUGUUGACUUGGUAAUGAACCCUUGAGAAAAGUUCUGACUCAACCUAUGCUCACUUGAGAAAAUUUGUUGUUAAUAGGUAUUGCCUUCGCUGGAUGUGUCAUUUACAAUCAGUCCCUGUCCAUCAAAGUUGCAAGAGUUUCUUGUGCGCAUGGAUGUUGUCAACAAAACUAGUUUGGAGAGCUUCCAGGUUAAUCAGUUAUCAGCUGUUGGAUGGCAGUGGGAAAUUUCACUGCUUCAAGCUGUUGAUACCAUCUUUCCUUCACAAUCUCUAAUUGCUGGUCAAGCAUUAUCCUGCUUCUUCAUGCUCAAGGUACGUGGAGCAGUUUCUAACCCUUGAAGUCUUUGGGGCGAAAAUGUUGAUUGUCUUAAUUCUCUCUCCCUUUGUGGUCCUUUUGCUUACGACUCACCUGCUUAUUAUGUAAGAAUGUAUGAUCUGAACUCUCCCUCUCUCUCACAUUCAUUUUGCCCUUCCAACUUUUUCUACUGAUAUAGGAUGACUUGUUCUGAUAGUUUUUUUUAAAUUAUUUUUAAAGAUGUUAUGAUUUUGUAGAAUUAGACUGCAUUCUACUUGAUGCUUUCAGAUCCUCACUUUGGCGCUAAAUUUUACCUCCCUCUGACAUGAUCACCAGUGACAGUGAAACUGUAGUUCAUAGUUUAGCUUCUGUGAAUGCACAAGACUUGUUGGUUAAUCUUUUAAAAUUCAUCUAAAUACUCAAUAUAAACUUGAACAAAUUAUAUUAACUUUUUAUGUUUGAACUUAUUGGUAAUGGUUCUUCGGCUUCAGAGUAUUAGGAAAUCAUCAAGGACUGAAGAAAAAAUAUCCUCUCUUUCCCGUUCCUGUGGAAGUGAUGUGAGGUUGGCUCCUGAGGGAAGCAAAGAUACUCUUUUGGAUAUAUGUAGCUCACCUUUGGCUGAUUUCCAUGAUUGUGAAAGAUUGCAGCAUGAAAUGUCAAAUCAGGUUGGUAAUUUCUCUUUUGUAGUUGAAUGUGUCUUUUGCCAUUUUCGCCAUCAGCACAGGUAACACUCCCACUGCUAUUUUCACCCCCUUAGACCAAUUGGAUUAUUUAACUAGCAAUUCACCAUUCUGGAGUUGCUGCAGAAGUUGAUUUUGUGUUUGUUAUUCUUUUUCCAAAAACAGCAAGUCGUCAACUUUAUAUAUAGUCAGAGUUAACGUGCUUAUUUCUCAUAUUGCGGUGCUUUAUGUGCUGCCUAUCAAUAAUGCCAACCUUUUGCUUUUGCAUCUAUCAGGAAGAUACAAAUACAGUGGACUUCAUUUUGAUCUCUAGGCCACUGAAAAAUGAUGUCGACCCUGGGGCUGGGACUUCUGUUGCACCUCGACUCUUUUCUCAUCAUGCAUGUCAUUGCAGGCAAGUUAUAAAAUUCUCUUCGUUGUGGAAUUGAGUAGUACGAAUUGGUUCUCCUGGUCAUUCUUCUGUCUUUUUGACAGUUGUUUCUUGUUUUCCUUUGGCAGUACCGCCAGCACAAGCCCAAUAUCAUGGGUAGUGGAUGGGCCUCGUACCACUCAUCAUGACUUCUCUGUUUCAUUUUGUGAAAUAAACUUGAGAAUGAUUAUUUAUAACUCAUCAGAUGCUGUUGCAUAUGUGGGCGUUAGUACCCUUGAUUCCCCUGGUGGCGGUGUUCAAUCAAGUGAUGAAAACCCAGUUGCUUCAGGAAACCAAGCAGGGUGGCAUAGUCUAUCUCUAACGGAUGACAUUAAAAUAACUUCUGAUGUUCAUGGAAGCGAUGUGGCAAAACCAGAGCCACUACCAAGCGUCUCUCCAUUCAUUUGGUCUGGCACAAGCUCUACCAGAGUCCAACUCGAGCCAAUGUCGUCGACUGAAAUUCCACUUCUGAUUUGUGUAUUCUCCCCUGGCACAUAUGAUUUGUCGAACUAUGCUUUGAAUUGGAAUCUUCUGCAUGUGAACAACGAAGGAAAUGUAGGAAGAACAAAACAGACCUCUGGAACGAUCCCAGGGUAUCCUUAUUAUCUUACUGUGCUCCAAUCUGAGUGAGAUCUCGGAUCAAUUUUUCCAGCUUCCUUUCGUCCCUGACAGAUAGAAGAUUUUCAAUGUACUAAUUUUUGUAACAUUGGUUUGUAAAUUAUUAUUCCGAUGUAAUUGAUUUUUUCUUCACAAAAUUGAGAGCCGAGGCAGAGCACAGUAAAAACAGGAAAUUGUUUUGUCCCUUGGAAUAAUAGUGGGAAUGAAAUGAAUUUAAGCAUCACCAUGAAUUUGUAUGGGACUUGUUUUUCAAUUUACAGAGAUUCUAGUAAUUUCUUUAGAUCUCGAAACAAUCUGUUGUUUACUGAGUUGAUCUCCUGAUUUGGCUGGAGCUUAAUAGCUGAUUAGGCCAUCUCCAAUCCUAUACAUCAUUUUUUGCACCAUUUUGGUGCUUUGCACCAAAAUAGUACAAUAUUAUCUCCUACCUGUACCAUUUUUAACACCAAAAAAAAUAUUUUAUUUAUAUUAUUCUCUCUUUAAUAUUAUAUUAUUUAUUUUAUUUAUAUAUUUCACUCAAAAAAUUCAUAUAAUUUUAUAUUUUCAAUCUAAAUAUUUAUAUAUUUUAUAUUUUUAUCCAAUAUUCAAAUAUUUAAUUAUUUUAUAAAUAAACAAAUAAAAAUAUAUUAAUUAUAAAAAUAUAUUAAUUAAAUAAUAAUUAUAAAAAAACAUUACUUAAACAUUAAUUAGCAAAUUAAAAAUAAAAUAAACUCAUACAUAUUAAAUUAUCAAUAAAAAAUUACAAACUAAUUUAUAUGAUCAUUUGAAUUUGUAUAUUGCUCCCACAAAUGCUCAAUUAAUGCAUUACGAAGUGCAAAAUGAGCAUCUUUAUCCUUAAUUUUUUUGUGUCGAGCUAAAAAUUGUUCAAAUCGAGUAAUUUCAUCGACAGCCAUUUCAACAGUUGAAGCUGAAAAUUCUCUACCAACUUCAAUAGGUGCACCAAGGUCACGUUCAUCCUCGAUUAUCAUAUUAUGCAUGAUAAUACAUGUAGUUAAAAUAUCAUGCAAUACUUCUUUUUUUCAAAAACGUGAUGGCCCUGCAACUAUUGCAAAACGUGACUGUAACACUCCGAAAGCACGUUCAACAUCUUUUCGACAUGAUUCUUGUUUCAUUGCAAAAUACUUCUUUUUCCUUGUUUGUGGUUCACGAAUAGUUUGCACAAUAGUUGACCAUUUCGAAUAUAUACCAUCAGCUAAAUAAUAACUCGUAUUGUAUACGUUUCCUUGAAUAAUAUAAUGAGCGGGAGGAGCAAUACCUUUAGCAAGGUCGGAAAAUAAAUGCGAUGACUCCAAAACAUUAAUAUCGUUAUUAGAGCCAGGCAUUCCAAAAUAUGCAUGCCAUAUCCAAAGGUCAUAAUCAGCUACAGCUUCUAAAAUAAUUGUUGGCGAUCCACUACGACUUGUAUAUUGGCCAACCCAUGCAGUAGGACAAUUUUUCCAUUUCCAAUGCAUGCAAUCGAGACUACCUAACAUUCCAGGAAAGUCACGUUGCUCACCAAUAUAAAGAAGCCUUGCAACAUUCUCGGCAGUUGGUGAUCUCAGAUACUGCUUACCAAAUACCUCAAUGGUGGCUCGACAAAAUCUCUUUAGACUUUCAAUUGCAAUAGACUCCCCAAUUUUCACAUAUUCGUCUGUAGCAUCCGCCGGCAAACCAUACGCUAACAUUCGAAACACAGCUGUGAUUUUUUGAAGAGUAGAUAAUCCAAUUUUACCUACUGCAUCUCUUUGUUGUUCAAAGUACGCAUCAUGCGCUUUUAUUACAUCGACAAUACGAAGAAAUAAAUUUCGAGACAUUCUAUAUCGUCGACGAAACAUUACAUCAUUGAAACGUGGAUUAUCUGAAAAAUAAUCUAGGAAUAAAUUACGAUCAGCCGCUUCACGAUCUCGAUUGAUUACUACAUGACCUAGAACAGAGCCACCUCUAGAAACUCGAUGUUGAUCUUGUAUUUGCUGCAAAACCAUCUUAUUUCUAAGAAAUUGUUGAUGAACUGCUUGUGUUUCCACUACAAACUCAUUAUCAUCUGAAAUAUAGUCAUCAAUAUCUGAAGAAGACGAUGAUGAAUUUGCAGCAUCAUUAUAUGAUGUAUCUCCAACAUAGAAAUCCAUUUUAAGCAACGAUCUGUAGAAUUUUCUUGACUCGAAUUUAAGAUGAACUGAAAAAUAUGAGUUAUGUUUAUAUCUUUAAAGAAUACAUGAUUUAAUAGGAAAAAUAUGGGGGUAGGGAUGCAUACUAUCUGAAGGUCGAGAUCGAAAUGAAAUUGAGGUUCCAUCUGACUUCAUUGAAAAAUGUGGGGAUAGGGAUGCAUAUUAUCUGAAGGUCGAGAUCGAAAUGAAAUCCAUCCAACGGUCGAUUUUUAGAUAAGAUCUAUCAGAAUACUGUUGGUGUAAUUAUUAUUUGAGGUUCCAUCUGACUUCAUUGAAAAAUGUGGGGAUAGGGAUGCAUACUAUCUGAAGGUCGAGAUCGAAAUGAAAUCCAUCCAAUGGUCGAUUUUUAGAUAAGAUCUAUCAGAAUACUGUUGGUGUAAUUAUUAUUUGAGAUUCCAUCUGACUUUAUUGAAAAUUGUGGGGAUAGGGAUGCAUACUAUCUGAAGGUCGAGAUCGAAAUGAAAUCCAUCCAAUGGUCGAUUUUUAGAUAAGAUCUAUCAGAAUACUGUUGGUGUAAUUAUUAUUUGAGAUUCCAUCUGACUUCAUUGAAAAAUGUGGGGAUAGGGAUGCAUACUAUCUGAAGGUCGAGAUCGAAAUGAAAUCUAUCCAACGGUCGAUUUUUAGAUAAGAUCUAUCAGAAUACUGUUGGUGUAAUUGUAACAUCCUCAAACCCAUAGCUAGAGCAGUGACAUCACUAGGUAUGGGUUAGGCUAUUUCACUACUAAAGUAAGUGGCAUUAGGGGAGGUGCUAGCUUACCCCGAGCUACUGAGGGGAGGUACUAGCAUAACUCUAAUCUGCUAAUCACUGAAUUAAUAGUGCUUGGCCCUGGUAAACAUAAUAGGAGUCGGGGUUAGCUUAAGGGUAUGGCAUGCCAUAUAAACAUACAGAGUUCGCAGUACUGCUACCGAUACAUGAUCUAUAUUUGAGGUUACAUAUUUGGUACCUCAUAAGCAUGGCCACAGAGCUCUGCUAUCACAGAUUUGGCCUCUGAGCCUACCGUUCGGCACCCUGUGCCUACCGUUAUAACUCCUUAUCUACCUAGUCGAUCCUACUAUGUGUUUAUAAGGGCUAAGAUCUUAGUUAAGAUUGAUACUUGAUUUUGUGAACUUAUUAGUGAGUGUUAAUAUGUUUGCAUCUAUUACAUGCACUAAGCUGUGGUGAUUUGCUAUGAAUAGAAAAUGUGCAAUAAAGGAAAACGAAGAUGUUUUUAUUCCGUUUAUCUGUAAACGUGAACUUAUUUCCGCUAUUUUGUUAUUUGUUGUUAUCACCCACUGAGCCUUAGCUCAGCGUGUUGGUUUUUACCUCACGCAGGUUGUAGAUAAAGUAGGCACGCGAAGUUCAUCAAAGGUCUACAUCAGAUAUCAAGGCCAUUAUCAUAGCUGGUUUUUUUGAGUCUCUGAGUCAUAGUACAGUUUUAUUUUGGCAUGUACAUAUUAAAUAGAGUGAGUUGUAAAGAUUAUGUAAUAAAAAAUAGUAAGAUAUCAAAUGACAGUUGUUAGUAUAAUUAUAAGUGUGAUGUUCAUAUGUAUUACAGGUUAAAGUGCUAAUGAAACAGAGGAAAUUCUGCCGAAAAAUUUUGGUUUAGAAAUCUCACAUUUAUUUUAAUCACUUGAUGAAAGUUACAUGCAUUACCUAAAAACUUGGUAUUUACAGAUAAAAGAAAUUGUUUAGUCCUGAUAUAUCUAAAAAGGUAUAGUUUGUGACAUUCCUUGCUCUAUCUACUCUUUGAUAGGGUAAGGGG
rnacentral:lncRNA from 1 species